rnacentral:rRNA from 1 species
UUAGCCCUAAACACAAAUAAUUAUAAAAACAAAAUUAUUCGCCAGAGUACUACCGGCAACAGCCUAAAACUCAAAGGACUUGGCGGUGCUUUACACCCUUCUAGAGGAGCCUGUUCUAUAAUCGAUAAACCCCGAUAGACCUCACCAAUUCUUGCUAAUACAGUCUAUAUACCGCCAUCUUCAGCAAACCCUAAAAAGGAACAAAAGUAAGCAUAAUCACAACACAUAAAAACGUUAGGUCAAGGUGUAACCUAUGAAAUGGGAAGAAAUGGGCUACAUUUUCUACCACAAGAAAAUCACACGAAAGUUAUUAUGAAACUAAUAACCAAAGGAGGAUUUAGUAGUAAACUAAGAAUAGAGUGCUUAGUUGAAUUAGGCCAUGAAGCACGC